rnacentral:tRNA from 2 species
GCUCGCAUAGCUCAGGCGGUAGAGCACUCCCUUGGUAAGGGAGAGGUCCCCAGUUCGACUCUGGGUGUGAGCACCA